GUGGCAAAUAGCCCGGGAAAACGUCUUUGUCAGCCAUUGGGACAGCACUCUCUGCUUCAGUUUCGUCUUGUCCUGCUCUUAUUCGAGAUAGUCGAUAAUCCAAGGAAAAGAGAUGAAGACGUAAAAAAGCUGCAUCCUGGCAGUGCGUGAAUAGGAGGCAAAAAGAGGAUGACAAUGGCUUCGUUCGUCGUCGUCUCGCCUGCAAAUGGAGUAUCCGACAACGCGUUGCAGAUGGCGCCCAAUCCCGAUUGAAAGCUAAGAAAGGUCUUCUUCUCAGGACACACAUGUCAUCCGUAAUCCGAUGGGAUGUGAAAUGGUGUUGCUGUAAUGUCAAAAAUUACACAGCCAAAGGAAGACAUUUACCCUUGGCAAUUGCCUGGACAGAAUGAUCGAAAAAUGGAAAGGAAAAGAAUAAGGAAGAAGCGCGUCAAGAGUCGUGCCUGGUGUAGGAGUAGCGACAUGCGCGCCAAAUGCACUCGCUAGAGCUCGUUGUGGACGACGUGCACCAGCAGACAAGGAGCGAGUGAGAGAGAAGAGAAUUGGGGGUAGGUGCUGAAUGCAGUCGGCAGUCUUCUGGUCCCCUCCAGUCCCGCACCAACUCGACUUGCGUUCGAUACGAACAUCCAAAAGGUUCGACCCUCAUCCAUCUGUUUCGCCAUAGAAAACGGGGUAAAAGGCGAUUGGCAGCCGUUAGCUCUAGACUGGCUGAAGAAAAAAAGUGUGCAACGGACGGAAAGCCAACGGCAGAACUGGUCUACUCUAAUAAUCUUCUAAAGAUUAAUAGUUAUACACAUCAAUCGACAUGGCCGAAGGAUUCAUUUGCUCGCGAUUUCGACGGCCAACUGAACCUUGUCCUGUUGUCGAGCAACAACAACAACAGCCGGUGACGCGAUUUGGUCAACAAACACCAAACGAUCGGCAGCAGUCGCAAGAUUACGAACUGUCUCGUCCACAGGAGACGGGAUCAGAAAAGAGGACCCUCAACAUCCGGCUGCUCAGUGAAGCCAUCAGCUCGCUCGUCCUUUUACCGGAAAGUUGUCUGCAACGGGCCGUCCAUCAAUGGGAUCGCCUGAAUCCUCACCACGACGAUGGUAGCGCCAGCGAGAGCAACGCAACGGCUGGACAAAGCCACUUGGACGAUGCCCGAUUGGCUGCCGAGAUGACGGACAAGUCGAUCGCUGAACCAGAAUCCCUCUUCCUGCACAGCUGCUGGAACGCGACCAAUCAUUUACCAGAGAUCCAGCGACGGCAGUUUUUGGAGCGUAUGGGCGAAGCUUUCCUCUUGGCCGUGCUGGAUGAGUAUUGCGGGGCUCUGCAGUCCCUGGGCAGCGACCUUUUUGGCUUCCUGCAGAAUCUUGGUAGCGUUUACCAAGAGAUGAAAACGACGUCUAGCGGCAACCGAACUAGUAGUAGUAGCAGCAGCAACGACGAAGGCAACAUCAUCAUCUCCAAUCAUUACGACAUUUCUUUCAGUUGCGUGCCGGAACAAGGCCGUUUGACGCUUCACUUCCGCACGGCCCUGGCCGCUUGCGGUUAUCUAUGGGCCGGGGUUCUCAAGGGUAUCGCCACGCACCUGUUUCACGUCGGUGUCACCAUCCGCGUCACCAUUUACGAACUCAAAUCGAAAUCGGCUCUUCGCUAUCAUUUCUGUUUUUCAAUGCCCUUCGUCGACGAAGACGAGGCGUUGGCGAGGUCCACGGCCAUAACCGAAGACGAAGAGCACGUUCUCCUCUCCAAGACGCGAUCGCUGAUUUGUUUUGACGACCCUUCCGCCAUGGCCUCGUCGGUGACGGACGACCAGCCGACCCGGCCGUUCCAACGAGCUCCCCACUUGUCCGACUUGAAGCAACGAGAUUCGUUGAAUCUUCGCUCGUUCGAGUCGACGACCACGUCCGUGUCGACGUCGACUUGUAUGAGCCAAAAUUACAUUGGGACGUCGACGUUUUGCCGCGCUUUUCCCUGGCAUUUUAUGGUGGACCGUCACCUGCAGUUGGUCCAGUUGGGCGUCGGCUUUAUGCGCCUCUUUGGCGCCGAGUUGAAGAAGAUGGGUCGUCACUUGGCAACUUAUUUCCAGAUGAAGAAACCCACAGUGGAGCCCAACUUUGACAAGAUCCUCAAAAAGGCCAACAGCCCUUUUAUCCUGGCUGUUUGUCACGUGACAAAGGACAGUCGCAAGACCAAACUUGAGGGGCUGGAAUUCAAAGGACAAAUGCUCUACUGCCACGAGUCUGACUGUUUGCUGUUCUUGGCUUCGCCGUUGGUCGACGGCCUGGAGGCAUUGACGAGUCGCGGUCUCUUCAUCUCCGACAUCCCAAUCCACGACGCGACGCGGGAUAUCGUCCUCAUCGGAGAGCAAGCUCGUGCUCAGGACGGAAUGAAACGCCGACUGGACAAGUUGAAGAAAAAUAUUGAAGAGGCAACGGUGGCCGUCGAACAAGAACGGGAAAAAAAUGUUUCGCUGCUCCAUCUCAUCUUCCCGCCAGACAUCGCCAAGAGGCUUUGGCUGGGCGAAUCGAUCGAGGCGCAGAGUCACGACAAUGUGACGAUGCUCUUUAGUGACUUGGUCGGCUUCACGGCCAUUUGUUCCACGGCAACUCCGAUGGAGAUCAUCAGUCUCCUCCAAUCGCUUUACACUCAAUUUGACGUCCUUUGCGGCGAUCUCGACAUCUACAAGGUGGAGACCAUCGGUGACGCUUAUUGCGCCGCUGGCGGCCUGCACCGCGCCAGCUCCACUCACGCACAACAAAUUGCUUGGAUGGCGCUCUGCAUGCUGGAAGUGUGCCGAUUCCACCAGACUCACGACGGACAGCCCAUUCAGAUGCGCAUCGGACUGCAUACGGGGACGGUUUUGGCUGGCGUCGUCGGACGCAAGAUGCCAAGGUAUUGCCUCUUUGGCAACAACGUCACCCUGGCGAACAAGUUUGAAUCGACUAGCGUCCCCUUCCGUACCAACAUUAGUCCGUCUACAUACGAAUAUUUCACUUAGUGGUGACUCACUCGUGCUCUUCAUUUAAAAAGAAAACAAUUGAUUUAACGCCACAACUGUGAAACAUUUAUGACAGGCUGUUGAAUAUUGAACGUUAACGUGUGACGUUGGUGGGUUUUGCCGAUAAGACGCGCGACUGGCGGACGUCUGUAGCUGCAACGACGCAACAUGCUUUCCUUGUGGUAUGAGAGAACAUGCUAGACCGGACGU
rnacentral:misc_RNA from 1 species